CCUACGGGAGGCAGCAGUGAGGAAUAUUGGUCAAUGGGCGGGAGCCUGAACCAGCCAAGUCGCGUGAGGGAUGACGGCCCUAUGGGUUGUAAACCUCUUUUACAGGGGAGCAAAGUGCCGCACGUGUGCGGUUUGGUGUGUACCCGAAGAAAAAGCAUCGGCUAACUCCGUGCCAGCAGCCGCGGUAAUACGGAGGAUGCGAGCGUUAUCCGGAUUUAUUGGGUUUAAAGGGUGCGUAGGGGGGCGUUUAAGUCAGCGGGAAAAUUGUGGGGCUCAACCUCGUAGUGCAGUUGAAACUGGGUGCCUUGAGUGGGCGAGAAGUACGCGGAAUGCGUGGUGUAGCGGUGAAAUGCUUAGAUAUCACGAAGAACUCCGAUUGCGAAGGCAGCGUACUGGCGUCCAACUGACGCUGAAGCACGAAGGCGUGGGUAUCGAACAGGAUUAGAUACCCUAGUAGUC
rnacentral:rRNA from 1 species